UUAAGUUCAGCGGGUAGUCCUACCUGAUUUGAGAUCAAACGUUCAAAAGUUGUCCUCGCUGCGGAGGGACAUCUAUGAGCCCCAGCGAACCUCCAUUGCUGAAGGUUACCUGGUGGGAAACCACAAGCGUAGAUAGUUAUCACACCCGUGAUGCCACCAAACACUGGCAAGCUGAUCCAUUUGAGAGGAGCCGACCAUAG
rnacentral:misc_RNA from 1 species